rnacentral:rRNA from 1 species
AUUGAACGCUGGCGGCAGGCCUAACACAUGCAAGUCGAACGAGUGGCGGACGGGUGAGUAAUGUCUGGGACACUGCUUGAUGGAGGGGGAUAACUACUGGAAACGGUAGCUAAUAACGCAUACCAUCAGAUGUGCCCAGAUGGGAUAAGCUAGUUGGGGGGGUAACGGCUCACCAAGGCGACGAUCCCUAGCUGGUCAGAGAGGAUGACCAGCCAAACUGGAAAUGAGACACGGUCCAGACGCCUACGGGAGGCAGCAGUGGGGAAUAUUGCACAAUGGGCGCAAGCCUGAUGCAGCCAUGCCGCGUGGAUGAAGAAGGCCUUCGGGUUGUAAAGUACUUUCAGCGGGGAGGCGUUACCCGCAGAAGAAGCACCGGCUAAGAGCGUGCCAGCAGCCGCGGUAAUUC